UACAGAGGGUGCGAGCGUUGUUCGGAAUCAUUGGGCGUAAAGCGCUUGUAGGCGGCUUGUUAAGUCGCGUGUGAAAUCCCUUGGCUCAACCAAGGAAGUGCGCGCGAAACUGGCGAGCUCGAGUGCCGGAGAGGGUCGCGGAAUUCCCGGUGUAGAGGUGAAAUUCGUAGAUAUCGGGAGGAACACCAGUGGCGAAGGCGGCGACCUGGACGGACACUGACGCUGAGACACGAAAGCCAGGGGAGCGAACGGG
rnacentral:rRNA from 1 species